rnacentral:rRNA from 1 species
AAAAGGUGGUAAUGCCGGAUGCUCCGACUCCUCGCAUGGGGUGUCGGGAAAGAUUUCAUCGGUAUGGGAUGGGGUCGCGUCCUAUCAGGUAGUCGGCGGGGUAACGGCCCACCGAGCCUACGACGGGUAGCCGGCCUGAGAGGGCGACCGGCCACAUUGGGACUGAGAUACGGCCCAGACUCCUACGGGAGGCAGCAGUGGGGAAUAUUGCACAAUGGGCGCAAGCCUGAUGCAGCGACGCCGCGUGCGGGAUGACGGCCUUCGGGUUGUAAACCGCUUUUGAUCGGGAGCAAGCCUUCGGGUGAGUGUACCUUUCGAAUAAGCACCGGCUAACUACGUGCCAGCAGCCGCGGUAAUACGUAGGGUGCAAGCGUUAUCCGGAAUUAUUGGGCGUAAAGGGCUCGUAGGCGGUUCGUCGCGUCCGGUGUGAAAGUCCAUCGCUUAACGGUGGAUCUGCGCCGGGUACGGGCGGGCUGGAGUGCGGUAGGGGAGACUGGAAUUCCCGGUGUAACGGUGGAAUGUGUAGAUAUCAAAA